UUGACUCAGCAGGAGAAUGAUGGCCACUGUGGACAGGACUAGUGGGGCCAUCUGUGUGUCUCCCCAAACGGAUUGUUUGAUCCCUGCAUUGCAAAGACUCCUUGUCAUCAGAAGGUCAUGGCUUCAGCCCUGCAGUGUGGCUGGCGCAGAAAUCCCAGCGGAAGUCAGUUCUGAAGUUCCCCUUGGCACCUUAGGCUCCAUAGCUUACUUCUCCUCAUCACCCAGCAGUCAUGACACUGCAGUCUGCUACAGAUGGAAAGACAGAGUCACAACAAUCCUCUGAUUUGAUCCCUUCAGUCUGGAUUGAAGUUGACGAUCUGCACAAGAGUUGCUUAUAUGUAAGACACAGGAGCUUCAACUUUGUAGUAUAUUGAAGAAGGACUAGGGCAAAUGGAGAAUGGAAGAAAUGGGGAGAGUGUGAAGAAAAAUUUAAAAGCAAGAUGAAGACAAGGAGUAAGAAGACUUCUCAGGGUCAGACAGAAUCUGAUAAACUUUGAGAAAGGCCUUAAGAUACUUGGAGGUGUUUUCUAAACAUUCCAACCUUGCAACAUUCUCCCAUCAUAGUCUGGAGGUGAAGUGAUUUAUGAAUAUACAUACUUACACAGUUCUCUGUGAUCAUCUUGAUAAGGUAAAUAUAUCACCCAGCAGGAAGCUACACUACACACUAGUCUCCUUCCUGAGAGAGAAAUUCAGUGUUCUGGGCCCCAGCCAUCCCUUUCUGACAUAUGCAGGGCGUGCAGUUUAGUUCUUCAUUAAAAAAUGUCCCAUCGAGAUGUUUAAACACAGAUCUCCCUAUAAGGAUGAAUGCUUUGAAUUGCCCUCCAUCCAAUUCCUCUCCAUUUAAUUGGUAUAAAGCAGCUUCCCCUUGGCUACUUCCUCCCUUGAAAUUACAUAAGUAGCCUCACUGGAAAGGCAUAGGUAAAUAUUUCACACUGCACACCAUGGAUUAGGAGCACAGCUCCCAUUAACCGGAGCUGGAAUCACUCAGCUGUUUUCCCCCUCACACCGUGUUAAAAAUGUACCCUACAGGAUGGAGAGACUGGGCUCCCAAGUGUCACCUUAUGAGGAAGGUGCAGAACACUUUCAUUUAAUACUGCAUGUGUUUCCAUUAGUAGAGUCAAUUGCUCUCUGUCCUCAGUUUUAAGACUCCCUGUUUGUCUCUAUUACAGCUCUGUUUCCACGUGCCUGCCAAUCCUCCCUAGCCCUUCCAUCUGAGCCUGCAAGGUUUUGAUGAUACAACACCACAGCAUCUUGGCUUUCAUUCGAUUUAAAAUUUGUGAUUGCAAUUAUGGACUUUGCAUUUCUAUGGGCUUACUGCUGCAUAGGAAGGCUUUUGUGCCCAAGGUGUUGUGUGGCAUGGCAACUUAAGGGAUGCCAGUACAGUAGAGGCCUGAAUGUCCUGAGUGGGGGAAAAAUCUUGACUGCUAAUUUGAUUCAGAGUACCACAACAACUGUCCAUACUGGCAUGACUCCUUCAGGGUAGAAAAUUUAUGGAUCUGUGUAAACACUAGGCAAAAAACCAGAAGACAUUCAUCACAUAUGUAAAAAUAGAGCUGUGGUUAAUAUAGUGUACGCUGUGGUCUGUUACUACUCUGGGAUAUGGUGUCUCUGCUGCUUACAUGGCUAUGAUGUAUCUACUUGUGAGAUACCAGCAUUCCUCCUUUACAAUUAUGUUGAAUGAUACCACUGCACUUUGUCUUUACCACACUCCUCCUUGCCCAGGAAAUGUAUGAGGAAAAUGGCCCUGUUCCAAGUGGUCAGUGCAGGUGAGGUCAUGUCAUGGCAGCUAGUAAGAAACUUAAGUUUCCACUUGUGAAAAAAGUGAAAGUUAUUUAAAAAAUAUAAUUCAAAAUUUUAACUGUCAAAAAGG